rnacentral:rRNA from 1 species
GACAGAGGGUGCAAACGUUGCUCGGAAUCACUGGGCGUAAAGGGCGUGUAGGCGGGACAGUAAGUCGGGCGUGAAAUCCCUGGGCUCAACCCAGGAACUGCACUCGAAACUACUAUUCUUGAGUGUCGGAGAGGAAAGCGGAAUUCCUGGUGUAGAGGUGAAAUUCGUAGAUAUCAGGAGGAACACCAGUGGCGAAGGCGGCUUUCUGGGUCUUACCUGACGCUGAGGAACGAAAGCCAGGGGAGCGAACGGG